UUUUUAGUUGGAUCAAAUUUUCACUGAAAGAAAUCGAUUCCCAAAUUAUGACCAAUGUACAGUGGAACAAUUUUUGAACAAUCCAGUGUCAGUCAAAUUCAACUUGAGAUUUGUAGGAGCUCAACCUGAAAAUCUCCAAGACCUUAUUACUGGCAUGUUGAUCGAAAAGGCACCAAGGACUGUCAUCAACAACCAGAUAGCUCUAGUUGUAGGAAACCUUGGCAUAUAUGAAAGGUCAUUGGCUGUAGAUCAGAGAACAGUAACUGGUUCACCUUUUACAUUCCCUGGUGGACCUGUCACUGAAUUCCCACUACCUACUCAACCAUUUCCAAAUCAAUUUACGCCACAACCACUGACUCCAGGCAACCCGUGUGCAGGAAGUGUUUCGAUAUUUGUACCCCACCCGACAGAUUGUGACCAAUUUUACAUGUGUACUGGUGAACAGGGUGUGGCGAUUCAGUGUGCAGCUGGAUCCAGAUUUGACCCAAACCUAUCUGUU